CUGUAAAAAAUUAUAGCAUUGGCCAGGGUGUAGAAAGUUUUUUGUGUAGCAGUAAAAUCUGGAGAGGUUCCUGUAAAGAAAUAAGACAGGAGCUGAGACCUGAGCAGGUAAGAGGCUGCCUGGGCCUUAGAGAGGAUGGGUCUUAGCGAGGAGGAGUACGGAGGAAGCAAGACAGAGGUCAGUAAACUGCCCCCUGUCCGGAGACCGGAUGCCAAGAAGCACAGGAUUUAUAUAAGAGGAGAAUAAAGUGGGAAGAAGGAAAGAGAAAACCUGCAGACACAUGCGUGACCUGCUCUCCCAUCCUCGGGUAACAGUCUGAAGCACCUUGAUGUAUGCACUGAGGCAUCAUUCCGGUCCUGAGGGACAAACAGGAGAGGUGCAGCACCCAGGCACUGAGGGGGGGGGCACUCUCCCUCACCAACAGCCAACCGAUGACUCAAUGGAAUUUCCAGUUUGCAUGCGUGCCACAAAUCAUACCAAUUAAACAAGAGGAACUUUUUCAUUAACGGGGAAAUCCAGAUGAAACAGUUCCUCACUGCUUCCUGGUUGUGUUUGCUCUGAGACAGUCCCGGCAGAUGCUGGGUCACAUGCAUGAGCCGAAGCAUGUGUGAGGGCCACAGGAGUGUCCCUGUCAGGGCGGCCCAAGCCCUGUCGUGUGGUCACCUGGAUUGCAAACUGCCUCAUAUGUGUUCGGGGGACUUCAGCUUUCUACUGUGUCACUCUGCACCGGCAGGUAAGCGAUGCAUGACAGUUGUCACUGUGCCUCAGCUGUAAAAGCCUCAGAGGUGUGAAAUCCAUUGGAGCUGCUCCCCAGAGACACUUGCCUGCCAGCAGGGCUCUUCGAGAGCCCUGUGAAUCAGGUGAUUUCUCAGCUGCCCGUAGCCACGGGGAUCCCGGGUGGGGACCAGAGGAGCUUGGCAAUGCUUGGCAGCCAGUGGGGCCCCAAGAAAGACAGUUCUGACUGCAGCCCUGCACUGUAUCCACAGCCCAUGAGCAUCUAGCUGCAGGGGAUCCCGCUGUCCACUCCGAUGCAGAGACGCAGUCUGUGAACUGGACUUCGUGACAGAUUUGAUAAAUUCCACCAAGACAGUAGUCAGUGUGACCUGAGGCUCACUCACUUCGUCACAAGUAAUUGUAACAUUUAAUUGUUCAUGAAAGAAAAGUUAUGGUUCUUUAAACAGAAUUUCACUGGUAAAGUUUUGAAAGUGCGAGAUAGAUUUUCAGAAAUGUUUUAUCCAUUUAUUGAUUCUGACAAAAUAGAUCAUCAAGAGCUUUCUGAGAGCUGGGGUUCAUAGCUCAGUGACAGAGCUCUCACCUAAUAUGUUCAUUUUAAUCCCAAGCUCUAUUUUUAAAAAAAUUAAUAUUAAAAUUAAAAACAUUUGACUUGCUCCAUUUCCAAUCUGGGCCAGUUCAUCCCUCUUUCGGCAAUGUGGUGGUUUCCUGCUUGUGGGAGGUCACCAUAUAGAUGUCAAACUGACUGCGGCCACCUGGUCCACAAUGUGUUCUGCAGCCCUGAACUCCUGACCUCAAGUCGGGAUCCUCCCACCUUAUCUCCCAGAUGCCACCAUGCCUAGAAAAAGGAAUUUAAAUGUUUUAUAAGACUGUCUUUAAUUGUCUUGAUCAGAAUUUUCUAUUGAUAUAUAACCUGAUGUGAAAAAGUCAUGUGCAUAGGAAAAAAAACAGAUUCAAGGCUUUCAUUACACAUUUUGAAACAUUUGACUUUGAAACUUUGUAUAUUUAUUAUUCAGUUUAUUCCCAAAUAAUGGUUAUUUUUAUUCAGAUGAAAUAUGAUCAAAUGUGUUAAUCGGGCCAGACACAGAACCCCUUUGCAUACUCAGCCUUGUGGCUCUGAUGGUCUCUCUGAUACCCAUGCAAUCUUAGGAAGGCCAGUGGUCCCUGCCCAGUGACCAGUGCCUCCAGCCUCAGAAGGACAGAUCUACAGCUGUGACUCCUCCCAGAACAAAGAGGCACACUCAUUGCCUCCAUUUAAUUUUCAGAGAUGGGCAGCAAGGUUUUUGAUGCCUUCAUUUGUUAAAAGAAAUCAGGAAAUAGUUAAUCUCGCUAAGUAGUGAGCAAGCUUAAUUUAAAGACAGAAAGAAAGAGUACUUUUAUGAGACAAGAAUGAUUUUGGCCACUUUCAUGAUUCAACAAAGAGGCUGAAUGUGUCCAGGGCCAGUCUAGUACCUAGCAUAUCUUAACAGACAGAGCAAAGGUCCUGCCCUAAGUGGCUCAUAUACGUGUAUAAUGUAUUGUCCGUUGGCUAUGAGUGCAGUAACCCAAAAGUGGGUAAAAAGAUGGAGCAAGCCUGGCUGCUAUGUCAGGACAUCAGAGGUCUGGCCAAGUUAAGAGUUCUGAGCAAAAGUCUAAGUGUAAAGGAGAAAAUCCUGAGUGCAGGAGGAGUGAUAUUUGGACCCGGAGGACUCCACAGCACAUGACCCAGACUUGUUUUCACCUGCUUCCCCUGCAUUCUGGGUGAAGUGGGGGAAUGACUUUCAGUAGUAUCACGAAAACUUCCAAUGAGACUGUUGUCAUAUUUGGUGAUGUGGAAAUCAGUAAUGACCUAAGAAAGUGAGAAGACCUGAAUAGACCGUGACAGAGAAAAAGAGAAGCAACUGGGUUAGAUGGAGAGACGACACUUUUAAUAUGUUUUGUUGAUCAUGACAGAGAGAUGGAGGUAGGGAAAUACAGUGGGAGCAGUGGAGGCAAAGACCUUUGCUUUUCAGUGUGGGAGAAUUUGUAUUUUGCAGCAAUCACUGAAGAAGCAUGGGACAGGGUUAUGUUUGUGUACCUUUGUAAGCGGUACAUGUGUGGCAUGGAAGAAUUCAACUAAUUUAGAUACAAAUUAUUUGUAUAAUUUUGAAAAUAACAUUAAUAUUCUCCCCUCUUACCUAGCAUCUAUCCCAUAAGGAAAACAUCUUAACAAAGUUAAAAUACAGCUUCUGCAUGUCAUCAAGAUGUCUUGAUGGUUGUCAAGUUCUUCUGGGUCAAUCUUACAACUUUUGAACCCUAGUUUAAAAAAAGUUUACCAGCCAUACAGGUUGGCAAUAAUGAAUGUUUACCUGGAAUAUUUACGAGCAAAAAUGGUAAGGCUUUUGAUAAACUUAAAAUUUGAUAAGAAAAAUGAGUUUAAAUCACACUUAUUUAUAUUAAUAUGUAAUCACAUAAAUCAUAUUAUACAAAUAUAUCUUCACCUAAUUUACAUGUUUCAAGAAAAAUAAGAGUUUAUAAAUACUGAAUUAACAUGUAUAAUAAACCAAAAUUGCCAGAA